rnacentral:rRNA from 1 species
UACGUAGGGUGCAAGCGUUAAUCGGAAUUACUGGGCGUAAAGCGUGCGCAGGCGGUUUUGUAAGUCUGUCGUGAAAUCCCCGGGCUCAACCUGGGAAUUGCGAUGGAGACUGCAAGACUAGAAUCUGGCAGAGGGGGGUAGAAUUCCACGUGUAGCAGUGAAAUGCGUAGAGAUGUGGAGGAACACCGAUGGCGAAGGCAGCCCCCUGGGUCAAGAUUGACGCUCAUGCACGAAAGCGUGGGGAGCAAACAGG